rnacentral:rRNA from 1 species
UACAGGGGGGGCGAGCGUUGUUCGGAAUUACUGGGCGUAAAGGGUGUGUAGGCGGUUCUCUAAGUCUGGUGUGAAAUCUCCCGGCUCAACUGGGAGGGUGCGCCGAAAACUGGAGGGCUAGAGUGCGGGAUGGGAGAGUGGAAUUCCUGGUGUAGCGGUGAAAUGCGUAGAUAUCAGGAGGAACACCUGUGGUGUAGACGGCUCUCUGGACCGCAACUGACGCUGAAACACGAAAGCGUGGGUAGCAAACAGG